rnacentral:sRNA from 1 species
UCGAUAGGAAAUAUUCCCUGAGACUGC